rnacentral:rRNA from 1 species
GAUGAACGCUAGCUACAGGCUUAACACAUGCCAGUCGAGGGGAAACGACAUUGAAGCUUGCUUCGAUGGUCGUCGACCGGCGCACGGGUGAGUAACGCGUAUCCAACCUGCCUCUGACCAAGGGAUAACCCGUCGAAAGUCGGCCUAAUACCUUAUGCAGUCGUCGGAAGUCAUCUGAUGACGACGAAAGAUUUCAUCGGUGAGAGAUGGGGAUGCGUCUGAUUAGCUUGUUGGCGGGGUAACGGCCCACCAAGGCAACGAUCAGUAGGGGUUCUGAGAGGAAGGUCCCCCACAUUGGAACUGAGACACGGUCCAAACUCCUACGGGAGGCAGCAGUGAGGAAUAUUGGUCAAUGGGCGAGAGCCUGAACCAGCCAAGUAGCGUGCAGGAUGACGGCCCUAUGGGUUGUAAACUGCUUUUAUGCGGGGGUAAAGUGAGGGACGUGUCCUUCAUUGCAGGUACCGCAUGAAUAAGGACCGGCUAAUUCCGUG